rnacentral:rRNA from 1 species
CCUACGGGAGGCAGCAGUGAGGAAUUUUCCGCAAUGCCCGAAAGGGUGACGGAGCGACGCCGCGUGGGUGAUGAAGGCCUUCGGGUUGUAAAGCCCUGUUGUAAAAGACGAUUAUGACGGUAUUUUACGAGGAAGCAUCGGCUAACUCUGUGCCAGCAGCCGCGGUAAUACAGAGGAUGCAAGCAUUGUCCGGAAUUACUGGGUGUAAAAGGUGUGUAGGUGGUUAAAUAAGUCAAAUGUGAAAUCUCGAUGCUUAACAUCGAAAUUGCAUUUGAUACUGUUUGACUAGAGUUCUGGUGAGGAAAGUGGAAUCCCCGGUGGAGCGGUAAAAUGCGUUGAUAUCGGGAGGAACCCCGAGGGCGAAAGCAACUUUCAAGCCUGAAACUGACACUGAGACACGAAAGCAAGGGGAGCAAACAGGAUUAGAUACCCUUGUAGU